CAGCAGCCGCGGGAAUACAGAGGGUGCGAGCGUUAAUCGGAUUUACUGGGCGUAAAGCGUGCGUAGGCGGCUUUUUAAGUCGGAUGUGAAAUCCCUGAGCUUAACUUAGGAAUUGCAUUCGAUACUGGGAAGCUAGAGUAUGGGAGAGGAUGGUAGAAUUCCAGGUGUAGCGGUGAAAUGCGUAGAGAUUUGGAGGAAUACCGAUGGCGAAGGCAGCCAUCUGGCCUAAUACUGACGCUGAGGUACGAAAGCAUGGGGAGCAAACAGGAUUAGAUACCCCUGUAGUCCCUGUCUCUUAUAC
rnacentral:rRNA from 1 species